UGGAUUAGGGUUAAUUUGUGCAUGUUUUAGGACCACUAUAUCUGAGGUUACUUAUGCUACCCGUCGGGACCAAACCCCACAACCAACAGCAAACAUGUCCUCCUGAGAAGACAUCCAAGCAGUGCAUGUGGCAAGAGGCAAGGCAAGAGGGACGCCAGUAUUUGAUGCUUGGCGGCGGAAGCUCCCCGGGUCAAAGUGUUGUGGGUGGUCCCAUCCUGACGGAAGCCGGUGCCAGUGAUCUGGUGGAGGAUAAAAGCAAAGUGCUGCACUGGUGUCAGUUAAACGGAAACAAGCUGACAUCGACAAUCAAAUGAAAAAAAAAACUCCUGGUGCAAGUUAUGUCGGGUCGGACUUUGAUAUUGCCCACUAAAUCAUCUCAGAUUGCACAGCGAGUAGAAACACUGAUUCUCAAACCGACCCUCUGAUAUUCCGUGCUCUACUAUCUGCACCUUGCUCACAGCAAAAUUCACAAUACAGACGGAUCGGUUUCGAUUGAAUUCUUCACUUAAAUAAAUACAAAGUAGUAAAAACAUCACCAGCAGCAGUCGGGGCUGGAGAAAAUGUGUGCCGAUUGCCGAAACAAUAAAUCCGGAAAAAGACACGAAUAAUCAGCUGAAACAAUUCUGGUUAGAAUUUCCUGCAUCUAAUUGGACAGUGAAUCCACUUGAGUAUGUUCCUCGCUUAGGCACAUAUUUCAUCCACCUAUGGAUAGUGCAGGAUCUUCCAAAAGUACCAAGUUUUGCUUGGAAAAACGAAAUCAUAAAUAACAAGGUUAGCGAUGGCUGAGAAUAAUUUUCGAUCACACUGAAGAAUCCCGGUUCCUAUAACGAGGCCGAUUUAUUAUUCCUGCUCAACCAUGGUUUCCUUUUGCAUCAAAUAAAAGUGAUUAUGCAACAACAUCGCAAACAAAACUUUAAUUCAAAUAAUUUUAGCUUUAAUUAUUUUUUUUUUCAACUUCAAAGGCUUUGCGUAGAAUCAUAAGCUCUAUUAUAAUUGAAGCCCUCAGGAUCAGAGGGGUGAGAGUCUCAAUUAUUAUCAUAAAGUUAAGAUAAACACUACUACUGGCAAUUUCUGAAAAGAUGAAAAAAAAAAUGAAAUCAUUGUCAUGUGAAGAAAAUUAACGCAACGUUCGUUUUGUACUAAAUAAAUUUAAUAUAAAUGUUAAUUUAGAAAAACAGCAGUGUGUACUGAAAUCCUUUUAUUCUUCAGAUUUGACGAAAGCAAUGAAUUGGGUGAAACACCUCUAAAAGCAAUUAAAACA